ACUUUCUUAGUAUAACUAGUAUAAAUGACUUCCAAUCAUUUGAUCUUGGUAAAACCCCGAGAGAAAGUA
rnacentral:tRNA from 1 species